AUUGAUGUUACUAUUAAGCUUGCCAAUAGGGAUACCAUUAAGCCAGUUGGGAUUGUUAGAGAUGUUGAAGUCUUGUGUGGGAAAGUUAAAUAUCCUUAUGAUUUUCUUGUUCUUGGUUCCCCACAAGAUGACUUUUGUCCCAUUAUAUUUGGUAGACCCUUCUUGAAUACUGUUAAUGCUAGGAUUGAUUGUGAAAAGGAUAUUGUUACAAUUGGCUUAGGGGAUAUGUCUCAUGAGUUCAAUUUUUCUAAGUUUCAUAGACAACCCCGUGAUAACGAAUCACCUAGUAAGGAUGAGAUUAUU
rnacentral:rRNA from 1 species